rnacentral:rRNA from 1 species
CCUACGGGGGACAGCAGUGGGGAAUAUUGGGCAAUGGAGGCAACUCUGACCCAGCAACGCCGCGUGAAUGAUGAAGGUCUUCGGAUUGUAAAGUUCUGUGAUGGGGGAUGAACACAAUGACUGUACCCCAAUAGCAAGCCACGGCUACCUACGUGCCAGCAGCAGCGUUUAUACGUAGGUGGCAAGCGUUAUCCGGAAUGACUGGGCUGAAAGGGUGCGUAGGUUGUUUAGUACGUUGGCGGUGUAAUUGCGGGGCUCAAACUCGGCUCUACGGGCAAACCUAGUAGACGAGAGUGCAGGAGGGGUAAGUGGAAUUCCUGGUGUAGCGGUGGAAUGCGUAGAUAUUAGGAAGAACAUCAGGGGCGAAGGCGACUUACUGGACUGUAACUGACACUGAGGCACGAAAGCGUGGGGAGCAAACAGGAUUAGAUACCCGGGUAGUC